ensembl:misc_RNA 7SK 7SK RNA
GGAUGUGAGGGUGAUCUGGCUGCAACAUCUGUCACCAAUUGAUCGCCAGGGUUGAUUCAGCUGAUCUGGCUGGCUAGGCAGGUGUCCCUCCUCCCUCACCGCUCCAUGUGCGUCCCUCCCGAAGCUGCGCGCUCGGGACAGCCUUCCCCGAAUAGAGAUGGACUGGUCUUCGGUCGAGGGCAUACGAGUAGCUGCGCUCCCCUGCUAGAACCUCCAAACAAGCUCUCAAAUAAAACUUUAAAAAUAAAGUUAAACUGUCUACACUACAGAUAACAGCAUGGAUGAAUCUCCU